rnacentral:rRNA from 1 species
CAGUCGCCACGGUAAUACGGAGGGGGCUAGCGUUGUUCGGAAUUACUGGGCGUAAAGCGUGCGCAGGCGGUUAUAUAAGACAGAUGUGAAAUCCCCGGGCUCAACCUGGGACCUGCAUUUGUGACUGUAUAGCUAGAGUACGGUAGAGGGGGAUGGAAUUCCGCGUGUAGCAGUGAAAUGCGUAGAUAUGCGGAGGAAUACCGAUGGCGAAGGCAGCCCCCUGGGAUAACACUGACGCUCAUGCACGAAAGCGUGGGGAGCAAACAGGAUUAGAUACCCCAGUAGUCCCUGUCUCUUAUAC